rnacentral:misc_RNA from 1 species
UGAAGUAAUAAAUAACAUGAGUGAAGAGGAAGAUGAGGAUGAAUCUGAGGGUGAUGAUGCAGAAAAAUCUGAAGGAGAGAGUGAUGCAGAAAAGCCUGAAGGUGAUGAUGAUGCAGAAAAGUCUGAUGGUGCUGACAGUGAUUCUUGAUUUACAAUUCAAGUCGAGUUUGCUACCAAUGCAAGCUUUGUUAAUUGUUCUGAUUUGCAUGUUAUCCUCUGUAAAGACAUGUAAGUGAGAAGUUAUACUGUUAGCUGCAAGGUAUACAGACGGUGGCCUCAAUAGGAUAGUUGUAAGAUAGACAUUUCCGUGUUAUAGCUAAUCUGUAGAUGUAACCUUAGAAUUUCCUUAUCCCCAUCUCUUGCUGAUAGUCCGGGGUUUUGAGCUUCUUGUACUUUUUAUUUUUUUU